rnacentral:pre_miRNA from 1 species
ACUUUAAGUGCCUGAUCCAAGGCUCCUGAAGUCAGUGGAAGUCUUUCCACUGACUUUGAUGGGUUUUGGAUCAGGCCCCAAAAGU